AGAACGAACGCUGGCGGCAGGCUUAACACAUGCAAGUCGAGCGCUGUAGCAAUACAGAGCGGCAGACGGGUGAGUAACGCGUGGGAACAUACCCCAAGGUUCGGAAUAACUCAGGGAAACUUGAGCUAAUACCGGAUAUCUCCGAGAGGAGAAAGAUUUAUCGCCAUGGGAUUGGCCCGCGUUCGAUUAGCUAGUUGGUGUGGUAAUGGCGCACCAAGGCGACGAUCGAUAGCUGGUCUGAGAGGAUGAUCAGCCACAUUGGGACUGAGACACGGCCCAAACUCCUACGGGAGGCAGCAGUGGGGAAUAUUGGACAAUGGGGGCAACCCUGAUCCAGCCAUGCCGCGUGGGUGAAGAAGGCCUUGGUUGUAAGCCCUUUGUACGGGAGAAAGCUUCGGGUUAACAACCGGGAGUCAUGACGGUACCGUAAGAAUAAGCACCGGCUAACUUCGUGCCAGCAGCCGC
rnacentral:rRNA from 1 species